GUGAGCAUGCCUGUCGGGACC
rnacentral:sRNA from 1 species